CAAGCGGUGGAGCAUGUGGUUUAAUUCGAUGCAACGCGAAGAACCUUACCUGGUCUUGACAUCCACAGAAUCUUGCAGAGAUGCGAGAGUGCCUUCGGGAACUGUGAGACAGGUGCUGCAUGGCUGUCGUCAGCUCGUGUUGUGAAAUGUUGGGUUAAGUCCCGCAACGAGCGCAACCCUUAUCCUUUGUUGCCAUCGGUUAGGCCGGGAACUCAAAGGAGACUGCCGUUGAUAAAGCGGAGGAAGGUGGGGACGACGUCAAGUCAUCAUGGCCCUUACGACCAGGGCUACACACGUGCUACAAUGGCGUAUACAAAGGGAGGCGACCUCGCGAGAGCAAGCGGACCUCAUAAAGUACGUCUAAGUCCGGAUUGGAGUCUGCAACUCGACUCCAUGAAGUCGGAAUCGCUAGUAAUCGCGAAUCAGAAUGUCACGGUGAAUACGUUCCCGGGCCUUGUACACACC
rnacentral:rRNA from 1 species